UAUAGUACCAUAACUCGUAAAGUA
rnacentral:siRNA from 1 species